rfam:Bombyx mori DNA, contig: Bm_scaf53_contig27103, strain: p50T/Dazao, build 2, whole genome shotgun sequence.
UUAACUCAACUUUUUGUAUGGAGUCGGAACGUUUGCCUACGUUUGCCGCUAGGGGCGCUGUUCCAACUGCAUACAAAUUUGAGUUA